rnacentral:rRNA from 1 species
GACGAACGCUGGCGGCGUGCUUAACACAUGCAAGUCGAACGGAAAGGCCCUGCUUUUGUGGGGUGCUCGAGUGGCGAACGGGUGAGUAACACGUGAGUAACCUGCCCUUGACUUUGGGAUAACUUCAGGAAACUGGGGCUAAUACCGGAUAGGAGCUCCUGCUGCAUGGUGGGGGUUGGAAAGUUUCGGCGGUUGGGGAUGGACUCGCGGCUUAUCAGCUUGUUGGUGGGGUAGUGGCUUACCAAGGCUUUGACGGGUAGCCGGCCUGAGAGGGUGACCGGCCACAGUGGGACUGAGAUACGGCCCAGACUCCUACGGGAGGCAGCAGUGGGGAAUAUUGCACAAUGGGCGGAAGCCUGAUGCAGCAACGCCGCGUGCGGGAUGACGGCCUUCGGGUUGUAAACCGCUUUCGCCUGUGACGAAGCGUGAGUGACGGUAAUGGGUAAAGAAGCACCGGCUAACUACG